AUUGAACGCUAGCGGCAUGCUUAACACAUGCAAGUCGAACGGCAGCGCGGGUAGCUUGCUACCUGGCGGCGAGUGGCGGACGGGUGAGUAAUGCGUAGGAAUCUACCUUAUAGUGGGGGAUAACCCGGGGAAACUCGGGCUAAUACCGCAUAAUCUCUACGGAGCAAAGCGGGGGACCUUCGGGCCUCGUGCUAUAAGAUGAGCCUACGUCGGAUUAGCUAGUUGGUGGGGUAAAGGCCUACCAAGGCGACGAUCCGUAGCUGGUCUGAGAGGACGAUCAGCCACACUGGGACUGAGACACGGCCCAGACUCCUACGGGAGGCAGCAGUGGGGAAUAUUGGACAAUAGGGGAAACCCUGAUCCAGCAAUGCCGCGUGUGUGAAGAAGGCCUUCGGGUUGUAAAGCACUUUCAGUGGGGAAGAAAGUACCAAAAUUAAUACUUUUGGGUGUUGACGUUACCCACAGAAGAAGCACUGGCUAACUCUGUGCCAGCCGCCGCCGUAA
rnacentral:rRNA from 1 species